AAUAUUGCCUGUCCACUGGCCAAAACAGCUUUAUUCAUCAACCAAUAAGAGAAACAUACAUUCACAGCAUACAGAAGGACAUCCCUCGUCACUUUGGGAGAGUAUCAACACCUGGCUAAGCAGCUGAGGGAGACAAUGAGAUUUGGAAGGCUGUUUGGAGGUUGCUGGCCUGCUGUGCAGAAGAAAGAAGCAGGGAUGCCAAGCUUGCCCUGAGAAGAGGCCUAAGAAUGCUGAGGAAGCCAUGCAGAGAAAGGAAGGGGAAGGAGGUCCUGGCACCAGCUCUGCAUUUCUGCUGAGGCUCCAGAAGGUUGCAGCACAGGUCCGAAGACCAGGUUCUUCUCUGCCUGUUUAGCUGAGGAAUGCCACUUCAAGGGAAUGUGCUUUUGACCAAUGAGAAACUUCUUUGCCACUUCAAGUCUCCUGAAGAAGAAGAGUUUUUAGAGUAGUAGAAGAAACAAGAAGA